rnacentral:rRNA from 1 species
AUGGAGGACGAGGAGAUGGAGAGGAAGGUGCAGCAGUACCUGCACCGCAAGGGAUUCCGCCUCGCCGAGCUUGCGCUGCAGGAGGAGCGCAACCGCCACUCCACAACCUCCCUCUCCGACGUCUCGCUCUCCAGGUCAGAUAAUGAUCCAGCAAGAUACCAUGAUGGCUAUAAUAAAUUAAGAACAUGGGCAUACAGUUCUCUGGAUCAAUACAAGGUGUGUUUCAUUAGCUGGGGAUUGUGCUUCACGUUUACAGCUCUAGUACAUUUGAAUGCACUUCGCUUUGCAGCAUUCACAGAUAUUUUGAGGCAUGAAGCUGCUAUAUCCACACUGUUCAUUAAUCUAGCAUGCUGCUCAUGA